GACGAACGCUGGCGGCGUGCCUAAUACAUGCAAGUUGAGCGAUGAAGCUUGGUGCUUGCACCAAUUUGAAGAGCAGCGAACGGGUGAGUAACGCGUGGGGAAUCUGCCUUUGAGCGGGGGACAACAUUUGGAAACGAAUGCUAAUACCGCAUAACAACUUUAAACAUAAGUUUUAAGUUUGAAAGAUGCAAUUGCAUCACUCAAAGAUGAUCCCGCGUUGCAUUAGCUAGUUGGUGAGGUAAAGGCUCACCAAGGCGAUGAUACAUAGCCGACCUGAGAGGGUGAUCGGCCACAUUGGGACUGAGACACGGCCCAAACUCCUACGGGAGGCAGCAGUAGGGAAUCUUCGGCAAUGGACGAAAGUCUGACCGAGCAACGCCGCGUGAGUGAAGAAGGUUUUCGGAUCGUAAAACUCUGUUGGUAGAGAAGAACGUUGGUGAGAGUGGAAAGCUCAUCAAGUGACGGUAACUACCCAGAAAGGGACGGCUAACUACGUG
rnacentral:rRNA from 1 species